CCUUUGAAGGCAAGGACUAUGUCCUAUUCCACCUUGAAUUCUCAUCACCAAGCGGAACGCCUGACACCUAAUCUAGUCAGUGCUUACUAAGUGCUCAUUAUCAAUGCAAGAAUAACAGAGCUAUGGAACCUGGCAGCCACCUCUUUUCUUUGGGCCUCAGUCUUCUCAUGCAGAACUUGGGAUUGGACUAAAUUGGAUCUCCUAGGCUGCCUCUGACUCUAACAAUUCUCUGAUUUAAAUUAUUCUUCAUCUGGAUGUAAUCCACCUUGCUUUUCCAUCCCAGGCUCUGUUCUCACUCAUGGCUGAUGGGCAAAGGCGACUAAGGAGGCACGGCUCCGUGAGGAUGUCCUUACAACUUUGCAACCCCCAAGGAAAAAGAGGUUGUUUUCCCAAUAUCUACUGUAAAACCUAAGAGGAAAAUUUCACGUUGCUGCAGCUUGGAUCAUGCAUUUAUCAUUUGGACCACCUCUGAGGACAGGGAGUUGCAGUCUGUGAGCCUGUGGAUUUUAUGGAAUAGAUGCUAUGUGGUGGAAUCCUGAGUCACGGCCAAACAGCAAAUGCCAGCAAGAGUAGAGUAGGAGGCAUUUCUGUGUACACUUUGG
rnacentral:lncRNA from 1 species